UAUGGCCAUAUAAUGUUGAAAUACAGGUUCUCGUACAAUCACUGAAGUUAGGCAACAUUGAGCCUGCUCAGUACCUAGUUGGGUGAUCCUUUAGGAAUACCAGGUGCUGUAAG